GGCAUAUCCCUUGCUUUGAUUCUGCUGACACUAACACGACCAGUCCCAUGCAUGCUGGCAAGUCUUGGAGCCAGAAGGGAAUUGGCAACCACAGGAGGAGUUGGCGAACGGGAGCAGCUAACGGGAGUUUUGCGAGGGACUUCUCCAGGUGAAGGAGGGGCGACUGGCGUGACCUGAGAGAGCCACAAAGAGUUGAGCACAUACUUGUUGAAGUGGAAACCAAUAGUAUGUGUUGCCAACCGUACAGCAGCAGAAGAAAAGGCAG